rnacentral:sRNA from 1 species
GCCGUCGCCAUCGAGUACCUCAACAAGAACGCCUCUGGCCGUUCAGCCUGAUGCGUCGCGUCAAGGAGCUUAAAUCGCCUAUGCAUGGCUUGGUAAUGGGGUUAUCUAAGACUAAUACUUUCUCUGUUUCACGAUAUAAAUCAUUAUAGCAUUUCCUACAUUCAUUUAGAUAUUAAUGAAUCUAAACAUAUAUAACAUCUAUAUAUAUAUAUAU